GAUGAAGAACGCAGCGAAACGCGAUACGUAAUGUGAAUUGCAGAAUUCAGUGAAUCAUCGAAUCUUUGAACGCACAUUGCGCCCGUCAGUAUUCUGGCGGGCAUGCCUGUUCGAGCGUCAUUACGCCCCUCAAGUCCCCUGUGGACUUGGUGUUGGGGAUCGGCGAGGCUGGUUUUCCAGCACAGCCGUCCCUUAAAUUAAUUGGCGGUCUCGCCGUGGCCCUCCUCUGCGCAGUAGUAAAACACUCGCAACAGGAGCCCGGCGCGGUCCACUGCCGUAAAACCCCCCAACUUUUUAUAGUUGACCUCGAAUCAGGUAGGACUACCCGCUGAACUUAAGCAUAUCAAUAAGCGGAGGA
rnacentral:misc_RNA from 1 species